rnacentral:sRNA from 1 species
UGAAUUUAAUCAACAAAACACACACAUAUCGACACAUCCGUCCUGGGUGCCGCUUUGCGGUGGGGCGAUGGGAUAUGUGGAGGUUAUAAC